rnacentral:misc_RNA from 1 species
UCCCCUGCUCCUUCUCCUCCCCCUGGUCGCGCCACCCUCUGCUCCCACUGGUCGCGCCGCCGCCAGGGCUCCAGCGCCGCCACCAGAGCUCCAGCGCGCGCCGCUAGGGCUCCACCGCCGCCGGCCCAUGUUCAGCGUCGCCGGCCCAUCUCCCCCAGCCGCGACCGCGCCGCCCCUCUCUUCUCCCUGCCGCGCCGCCGCGCACCGCGUUCCCCAGGGCGCCGCGCUCCCCUAGGCGCCGCCGUUCCCUGCCAGCCCCGUGCCUCUAGCCGCCAGGGUCGCGCGCCAGCGCCAGGAAGCCGCCGCGCCAGCCGCCCAGCCAGGAAGCCGCCCCUCCAGCCGCUGCGCCAGGAAGCCGCUGCGCCAGGGCCGCGCGCCGCCCCACGCCCCGACGCGACUCCGCGCCUUCUCCCUCUCUUCAGGGUCGCCGUCGGCCAACUCCUGUCUGCGGACCGGGCACCUGCGCCGUCUCCUCCAGCCGCCGGUGCCGCGCGCACCCUGUCCUGUCGCGCCCGCGCCGCCGAACCCCCUCCCAUCGCGCCUGCACCGUCGGAUCUGUCUCCUUCCGCGCCAGCGCCGCCGGAUCCGUCCCGGUCGGCUUCUCCCUGCCGCCUCCUCUUCACUUGCCGUCAGGCGCUGUCAGCCCCAACUCCCAGCCAAGCCGCCCGACCCGAUCCUACUGGCAGCGUGCGCCCUUCUGGACACCCCCACCAAUUCCAUGGCGUCACCCCCGCUGUACAUGAGCUUACCCUCGCCCGUCGUUCCUGUGACUGUGCAUGCCCUCCUCCACAACGGCCAGCUCAUUCGGGGCAUGUUCGUGUCCUUCGAUCCAGUCUGGAACCCUAUUCUCCGGGACUGCGUCGAGAUCCACCCUCAGGCGGGCCGUCACGUGCCUGGACCGCUUGUUUUCCCAUGUGCUGCGAUUGCCUCCCUAGCGGUUGAGCCCGUGUCAUCUCCCUCCCUCCCUAGCGCCUCUAUCGGGGCACCUUCUUUAGCCCUCUCCGCUCACACCGUACCUUCGCCACCACCACCUCCCCCUCUCACCACCGAUUGGGUGGUUGACUCCGGGGCCUCCUUCCACACUACCCCCACAACUAGUUCGUUACUCCACUCCCAUCCACCACACCCCUCACAUCCUUCCUCCAUCGUCGUUGGCAACGGUUCCACCCUUCCGGUCACCUCAGUAGGUGCAUCGGUUCUUCCAGGACCAUUCCGCCUUAACGACGUCCUUGUCGCUCCUGGACUGACUCAUCCCCUCCUCUCGGUUCGUCGCUUCACUAGUGACAACCAGUGCUCUAUGGAGUUCGACCCUUGGGGUCUCACCAUACGCCAUCUUCCCACACAUGCUGUACUCGCUCGCUGUGACAGCUCCGGCCCCCCUCUAUUUUCUUCACUUGCCCACCACUCCCCACACCAGAGUAGCCUCAUCUCCUGCUCUUGCUACUACCACCACCUCCUCCGCCAUUUGGCACCGUCGCCUAGGGCACCCUGGACCUGACGUCCUGUCGCAGCUUGCCGGCCACUCUGACAUACCCUAUACUCGGGGCUCUUCUGAGCACCUCUGCCAUGCUUGUCAGCUUGGCCGUCACUCCCGUCUUCCUUUUUCCACCUCCACGUCCAGGGCUGUUCAGGCCUUUUGAUAGUCGCCUAGAGGGGGGGUGAAUAGGGCGAAACUGAAAUUUACAAAUAUAAACACAACUACAAGCCGGGUUAGCGUUAGAAAUAUAAAUGAGUCCGCGAGAGAGGGCGCAAAACAAAUCGCAAGCAAAUGAAGAGUGUGACACGCGGAUUUGUUUUACCGAGGUUCGGUUCUCGCAAACCUACUCCCCGUUGAGGAGGCCACAAAGGCCGGGUCUCUUUCAACCCUUCCCUCUCUCAAACGGUCCCUCGGACCGAGUGAGCUUCUCUUCUCAAAUCAAAGCCGGGAACAAAACUUCCCCGCAAGGGCCACCACACAAUUGGUGCCUCUUGCCUUGAUUACAAUGGAACUUUG